rnacentral:rRNA from 1 species
AGAUUGAACGCUGGCGGAAUGCUUUACACAUGCAAGUCGAACGGCAGCACGGGACUCAGGCAACUGAGCCCUGGUGGCGAGUGGCGAACGGGUGAGUAACAUAUCGGAACGUACCCAGUCGUGGGGGGAUAACUCUCCGAAAGGAGAGCUAAUACCGCAUACGUCCUGAGGGAGAAAGCGGGGGACCUAAGGGUAACUGAGGGCCUCGCGCGAUUGGAGCGGCCGAUAUCGGAUUAGCUAGUUGGUGGGGUAAAGGCUCACCAAGGCGACGAUCCGUAGCGGGUCUGAGAGGACGACCCGCCACACUGGAACUGAGACACGGUCCAGACUCCUACGGGAGGCAGCAGUGGGAAUUUUGGACAAUGGGGGCAACCCUGAUCCAGCCAUUCCGCGUGAGUGAAGAGGCCUUCGGUUGUAAAGCUCUUCAGCAGGAACGAAACGGUCGACUUUAAUAAAGUCGACUAAUGACGGUACCUGCUAGAAGAAGCACCGGCUAACUACGU